UACAGAGGGUGCGAGCGUUGUUCGGAAUUAUUGGGCGUAAAGCGCAUGUAGGCGGCUUUGCAAGUCGCGUGUGAAAGCUCCAGGCUCAACCUGGAAAGUGCGCGCGAAACUGUGAGGCUUGAGUGCCGGAGAGGAUGGCGGAAUUCCCCAAGUAGAGGUGAAAUUCGUAGAUAUGGGGAGGAACACCGGUGGCGAAAGCGGCCAUCUGGACGGUAACUGACGCUGAGACGCGAAAGCGUGGGGAGCAAACAGG
rnacentral:rRNA from 1 species